UACGUAGGGUGCAAGCGUUAAUCGGAAUUACUGGGCGUAAAGCGUGCGCAGGCGGUUUUGUAAGUCUGUCGUGAAAGCCCCGGGCUCAACCUGGGAAUUGCGAUGGAGACUGCAGGGCUUGAAUCUGGCAGAGGGGGGUAGAAUUCCACGUGUAGCAGUGAAGUGCGUAGAGAUGUGGAGGAACACCGAUGGCGAAGGCAGCCCCCUGGGUCAAGAUUGACGCUCAUGCACGAAAGCGUGGGGAGCAAACAGG
rnacentral:rRNA from 1 species